rnacentral:rRNA from 1 species
AAAUGCGCAGAUAUCAGGAGGAACACCGGGUGGCGAAGGCGGGACUCUGGGGCUGUAACUGACACUGAGGAGCGAAAAGCAUGGGGGAGCGAACAGGAUUUAGAUACCCUGGUAGUCCAUGCCGUAAAACGUUUGGGCACUAGGUGUGGGGGGCAUUCCACGUUCUCCGCGCCGUAGCUAACGCAUUAAGUGCCCCGCCUGGGGAGUACGGUCGCAAGGCUAAAACUCAAAGGAAUUGACGGGGGCCCGCACAAGCGGCGGAGCAUGCGGAUUAAUUCGAUGCAACGCGAAGAACCUUACCAAGGCUUGACAUACACCGGACCGUCCUGGAAACAGGUCCUCUUCUUUGAAGCUGGUGUACAGGUGGUGCAUGGUUGUCGUCAGCUCGUGUCGUGAGAUGUUGGGUUAAGUCCCGCAACGAGCGCAACCCUCGUUCUAUGUUGCCAGCACGUGAUGGUGGGAACUCAUAGGAGACUGCCGGGGUCAACUCGGAGGAAGGUGGGGAUGACGUCAAAUCAUCAUGCCCUUUAUGUCUUGGGCUUCACGCAUGCUACAAUGGCUGGUACAGAGAGAGGCGAACCCGUGAGGGCAAGCGAAUCCCUUAAAGCCAGUCUCAGUUCGGAUCGUAGUCUGCAAUUCGACUACGUGAAGUCGGAGUCGCUAGUAAUCGCAGAUCAGCAACGCUGCGGUGAAUACGUUCCCGGGCCUUGUACACACCGCCCGUCAAGUCACGAAAGUCGGUAACACCCCGAAGCCGG